rnacentral:rRNA from 1 species
AUUCCAGCUCCAAUAGCGUAUAUUAAUGUUGUUGCAGUUAAAAAGCUCGUAGUUGGAUUCCUGGCCUGGGGUAGCCGGUCCGCCUUGCAAAAGGUGCGCACUGAGCGGCCUCGGCCAUCCUUGGGAAGAGCAGUCCUGGCAUUCAGUUGUCGGGGUUGGGAUUCCCGACGUUUACUGUGAAAAAAUCAGAGUGUUCAACGCAGGCUUACGCCUUGAAUACAUUAGCAUGGAAUAAUGAGAUAGGACCUUGGCGGUCUAUUUUGUUGGUUUGCACGCCGAGGUAAUGAUUAAAAGGGACGGUUGGGGUUCUUCGUAUUCAAUUGUCAGAGGUGAAAUUCUUGGAUUUAUGGAAGACGAACUGCUGCGAAAGCGUCGAACAAGGACGUUCUCAUCG